rnacentral:rRNA from 1 species
UGCGUAGGCGGAAUAUUAAGUCAGUGGUGAAAUCCUGCGGCUCAACCGUGGAACUGCCAUUGAUACUGAUAUUCUUGAAUGUAGUUGAGGUAGGCGGAAUGUGUAAUGUAGCGGUGAAAUGCUUAGAUAUUACACAGAACACCGAUUGCGAAGGCAGCUUACUAAACUAUGAUUGACGCUGAGGCACGAAAGCGUGGGGAGCGAACAGGAUUAGAUACCCUGGUAGUC